GUGGAAGUAGCUCAGUUGGUAGAGCCGUAGUGUCGUGGGUUCGAGUCCCACCUUCCGCA
rnacentral:tRNA from 1 species